UACGUAGGGUGCAAGCGUUGCCCGGAUUUAUUGGGCGUAAAGGGCGCGUAGGCGGCUCUGCACGUCCGUUGUGAAAUCGCCCGGCUCAACUGGGCGGGGUCAGCGGAUACGGCAGAGCUUGAGCAAGCUAGGGGGCAAUGGAAUUCCCGGUGUAGUGGUGAAAUGCGCAGAUAUCAGGAGGAACACCGGUGGCGAAGGCGGGUCUCUGGGCCGAUACUGACGCUGAGGAGCGAAAGCGUGGGGAGCGAACAGG
rnacentral:rRNA from 1 species